AGGACGAACGCUGGCGGCGUGCUUAACACAUGCAAGUCGAACGCUGAAACCGGAGCUUGCUUUGGUGGAUGAGUGGCGAACGGGUGAGUAACACGUGGGUGAUCUGCCCUACACUUUGGGAUAAGCCUGGGAAACUGGGUCUAAUACCGAAUAUUCACACCACCGUAGGGGUGGUGUGGAAAGCUUUAUGCGGUGUGGGAUGAGCCUGCGGCCUAUCAGCUUGUUGGUGGGGUAAUGGCCUACCAAGGCGUCGACGGGUAGCCGGCCUGAGAGGGUGUACGGCCACAUUGGGACUGAGACACGGCCCAGACUCCUACGGGAGGCAGCAGUGGGGAAUAUUGCACAAUGGGCGCAAGCCUGAUGCAGCGACGCCGCGUGGGGGAUGAAGGCCUUCGGGUUGUAAACNCCUUUCGCUAGGGACGAAGCCUUAUGGUGA
rnacentral:rRNA from 1 species